AAUAAGUGCAGUUUUGUACUAUUCACGUUCAACGUUUGACUGUUCGUCUUAUUUAAAAAAAAAUUAUGAUUAAUAUUUUUAUUGCUAUUAGAUGAUAAAAUAUGAAUAGUAGUUUUUAAAUUUUUUACAAAUUUUUUUAAUAAGACGAACGGUCAAACGUUGGGCACGGAUAUUUACGGCUGCACUUAUU
rfam:Oryza glaberrima chromosome 2 Oglab02_0016_16, whole genome shotgun sequence.